AAAGGUCAGUGAAGAAGCAGAGGCCUUGUGCUUUUAAGGAGCUUCCUCAGGUCUCUAACUACAUAUCUGUCAUUCAUUUUUAAUAUGGGUUCACAUUGCGGUUUCCAUGGAGAAGGUCUUGUCCAUAGUCUGUCAGCCACAAGCCAUUUUCCGAAUUCGUCCUGUAAAUCGCUGUUCAGCAACAAUUGCUGGGGGUGGGUGGGGUGCCAUUGUAUCAAGGAGAGCAAUGUUGUUAGAUGGAUGUUGAUUAUGGAGAUUACAGUUUCAAUCCUUAUGGAGUGCUGGAGGACCUUUGUUUGACAUGUCACUCAGAAGCUGUUCUAUCUGUGGCCUUUAGACCUGACGGGAAGCAACUGGCUAGUGGUUCAGGAGAUAUCACAGUCCGAUUGUGGGACCUAAAUACUCGGACUCGAUGUUUGCAUGCAACGGUUGAAUAUUUGAAUCUCUUAGUUCCUUACGUCCUUCAAGUUUCUAAUUGUAUGCUCCCUUCCCCAUCAUGGGGGCAUCUAAAUAUACG